rnacentral:lncRNA from 1 species
AGCCAUAUCUUCUCACUCCUCAGCAACUUUAUUAGGGCAGGUCAGUUGGUACAGGAGUCGGCGGAGGCAGAGUUGGGCUUAGCAGAAAGCCUGGAAGAUAAUGCUGGAAUGCAGAGGCACCGAGGAUGUGAUGCAGCAAGAAGGCCACUGUCUGCAAACCAGGAAGAGGGCUCUCACCAAGAACAGAAUCAGCCAGCACCUUGACCUUGGACUUCCAGCCUCCAGAACUGCUGCAGAUUCCCAUCUGCUGGAGCAGGGGCCAUGUGAUCUCCCAAGAUUUUACCGGGACUCUGGCUUUCAUUGUCCCUGAAUGACAGAGACUUGUGGCUGCCCCUGUGCCACAGUGCCUGCACCAUCUCUGGUGCCUCCUUCCUCCUCUGCUUCCCAGUGGUUUCUUGCCAUGUGUCACCAGCGCCUUUCUUCCUGAUCCUGGCUACCCUGAAAGUUGGAAGCAUAAGACUUGGCCCCAAGUUUCUAAAGCACCUUGUGCUUUAGUCUCAGGCUCUGCCUUCUGCAGGAAAGAACCUCCCCCAAGCUCCCUCCGAGUCCGUCUCUCAUGUUAUCUAGUGUAUGCCUAAUGUAUCAGAGGCAUCUUGGCACCAUUCAUAAUGAUCUGUCCGCUGAAGAGUCUAGCUAUGACAGCCGAACUCCUAAGCACAUGCCUUGAAUUUAUGAAAAACAUAUUGAAGUGAAACUAAGACAAAUAGUUGCUGAGUUUCGGGUAAAUAUUUCUUUAGCAUAGGAUAUAUUAAUUUCCAAAAGAUCUCUCUAUGGUUUUAAAAAAGAUUAUUAAAAAUUAUUUAAAAAAUUAGGAAGUUCAGGAAGUCGCUGUAUUCUUUCUUAACUUCACCUUUUAGUUCUAAAUGGUAUGAACUCGCUGCUGUGCAAAAUGGGGAAAUUAGCACCCUAACACUUCUUUCUCAGCCUGCCUUGAAAUUUUUAUUAUUUUUACUUUUUCAAGGUUUACAACAUUACGUGCUAAAACCAUAUUACCCAUAUUUGUUGAGUCUGGGGUCUAU